rnacentral:lncRNA from 1 species
AAAAAAAUAAAAUGUGUUUAGAUGACAAAGUGUUAAAAGCUUUCUUGUCAAAAUGAAUUAUUUCCAUCGAUUCCUAAGUACAUGUAUAAACAAACAAUGAAUACAUUUACUAUAUAAUAUAUUGUAAUAAUUCAAAUUUUUAUUUUUUUACUAUAACUUGAAUGAUUGUCAUAUUAAUCAAGCUAAUUUACAUAUGUUAGAACUACACUAUACAAGUUAGCCUAUAUAUGUAUUCAUCAGUUGUGAUAUAAAUUGUUCCAAAUUUUUU